AGGUGUCAAAGAGAUGGGACUCACCCUUGA
rnacentral:piRNA from 1 species